GUGAGGGAGACCUGAGAGGGGCUGCAGGGUCUCGGCUGAGGCCCAGAUGCAGGGGGCAUGACAAAGACUUAAAAUAAAGUCUCUGUACGGGAGAACAGAAGAAUUUCCAUCCACUACAGUUAAUUAUCCUUUAUGGCUAAAAAUGGUGCGAUAAGGAAGCGCUUUAUUUUCCCCAAAUACAUAGUUCAGGGAGGUGGUGUGAAAUGUGAGAAACGGUUAGUUGUCGUUUUUAUGUUCCAUGUCUCAUGAAGAUUCAGCUUAGUGAGAUUCACUCUACUGAACAUGAUGUUGCAACAAGACACUCUGAGCUUCGGCUUCCACUGUUCUUGAAGUGGUCUGUGAAGGCAAAGGUGAUGACUGAAGGGACUAAGUUUUGCAAGUGACUUGUGUCUAUUUGGUGUGCAAGCCUACU